GCCUUGGUGGCUCAAUGGAAGAGCGUGUCCCUCCUAAGGACAAGGUUGUGGGUUCGAUCCCCACCCAGGGCU